rnacentral:lncRNA from 1 species
AUGGAGAUGUGGGGCUGUAGGAGGGAGAAGUUGGGCUGUAGGAGGGCGAAGUUGGGCUGUAGGAGGGCGAAGUUGGGCUGUAUGAAGGAGACGUGGGACUGUAAGAUGGGGAAGUGGGGCUAUAUGCAGGGGAAGUGGGGCUGUAAGCGGGGGAAGUGGGGCUGUAAGCAGGGGAAGUGGGGCUGUAGCUUGGUGAGGUGGGACUGUAGCUUGGUGAGGUGGGGCUGUAGCUGGGAGAGGUUGGUGAGUAUGAUGGACUCGUAGGAGAGUAAGCUGGACUGGUGGGACUAUAGCCAGGAGAACUAGGACUAUAUGUCGGAGAGGUGGGACUGUACCCAGGAGAAGUGGGGCUAUACCCUGGUGAGGUGGGACUGUACCCAGGAGAAGUGGGGCUGUAUCCAGGCGAGGAAGGGCUGUAUCCAGGGGAUGAUGGGCUGUAGCCUGGAGAGGAAGUAGGAGAGAAUGCCAUUCCUCCAACAUAUGGAGAAAACUGAGCAUCUGAAAUUGGCGACAACCGAAGAUUUGGGCUCAACAAAUAAUUAGGGGACAUCAUG